UUAAGCGACUAAGCGUACACGGUGGAUGCCCUGGCAGUCAGAGGCGAUGAAGGACGUGCUAAUCUGCGAAAAGCGCCGGCGAGGUGAUAUGAACCCUUGACCCGGCGAUGUCCGAAUGGGGAAACCCAGUGUGUUCCGACACACUAUCGUUAACUGAAUACAUAGGUUAACGAGGCGAACCGGGGGAACUGAAACAUCUAAGUACCCCGAGGAAAAGAAAUCAACCGAGAUUCCCCCAGUAGCGGCGAGCGAACGGGGAGCAGCCCGGAGUCUGAAUCAGCUUGUGUGUUAGUGGAACGGUCUGGAAAGUCCGACGGUACAGGGUGAUAGUCCCGUACACGAAAACACACUUGCUGUGAACUCGAAGAGUAGGGCGGGACACGUGGUAUCCUGUCUGAAUAUGGGGGGACCAUCCUCCAAGGCUAAAUACUCCUGACUGACCGAUAGUGAACCAGUACCGUGAGGGAAAGGCGAAAAGAACCCCGGCGAGGGGAGUGAAAAAGAACCUGAAACCGUGUACGUACAAGCAGUGGGAGCCUCUUUAUGGGGUGACUGCGUACCUUUUGUAUAAUGGGUCAGCGACUUAUAUUCUGUAGCAAGGUUAACCGUAUAGGGGAGCCGAAGGGAAACCGAGUCUUAACUGGGCGUUAAGUUGCAGGGUAUAGACCCGAAACCCGGUGAUCUAGCCAUGGGCAGGUUGAAGGUUGGGUAACACUAACUGGAGGACCGAACCGACUAAUGUUGAAAAAUUAGCGGAUGACCUGUGGCUGGGGGUGAAAGGCCAAUCAAACCGGGAGAUAGCUGGUUCUCCCCGAAAGCUAUUUAGGUAGCGCCUCGUGAACUCAUCUUCGGGGGUAGAGCACUGUUUCGGCUAGGGGGCCAUCCCGGCUUACCAACCCGAUGCAAACUACGAAUACCGAAGAAUGUUAUCACGGGAGACACACGGCGGGUGCUAACGUCCGUCGUGAAGAGGGAAACAACCCAGACCGCCAGCUAAGGUCCCAAAGUCAUGGUUAAGUGGGAAACGAUGUGGGAAGGCACAGACAGCCAGGAUGUUGGCUUAGAAGCAGCCAUCAUUUAAAGAAAGCGUAAUAGCUCACUGGUCGAGUCGGCCUGCGCGGAAGAUGUAACGGGGCUAAACCAUGCACCGAAGCUGCGGCAGCGACACUAUGUGUUGUUGGGUAGGGGAGCGUUCUGUAAGCCGUUGAAGGUGUGCUGUGAGGCAUGCUGGAGGUAUCAGAAGUGCGAAUGCUGACAUAAGUAACGAUAAAGCGGGUGAAAAGCCCGCUCGCCGGAAGACCAAGGGUUCCUGUCCAACGUUAAUCGGGGCAGGGUGAGUCGACCCCUAAGGCGAGGCCGAAAGGCGUAGUCGAUGGGAAACAGGUUAAUAUUCCUGUACUUGGUGUUACUGCGAAGGGGGGACGGAGAAGGCUAUGUCAGCCGGGCGACGGUUGUCCCGGUUUAAGCAUGUAGGCGGAGGUUCCAGGUAAAUCCGGUACCUUUUAACGCUGAGGUGUGAUGACGAGGCACUACGGUGCUGAAGUGAUAAAUGCCCUGCUUCCAGGAAAAGCCUCUAAGCAUCAGGUAACACGAAAUCGUACCCCAAACCGACACAGGUGGUCAGGUAGAGAAUACCAAGGCGCUUGAGAGAACUCGGGUGAAGGAACUAGGCAAAAUGGUGCCGUAACUUCGGGAGAAGGCACGCUGAUAUGUAGGUGAAGCCCCUGCGGGCGGAGCUGAAAUCAGUCGAAGAUACCAGCUGGCUGCAACUGUUUAUUAAAAACACAGCACUGUGCAAACACGAAAGUGGACGUAUACGGUGUGACGCCUGCCCGGUGCCGGAAGGUUAAUUGAUGGGGUUAGCGGCAACGCGAAGCUCUUGAUCGAAGCCCCGGUAAACGGCGGCCGUAACUAUAACGGUCCUAAGGUAGCGAAAUUCCUUGUCGGGUAAGUUCCGACCUGCACGAAUGGCGUAAUGAUGGCCAGGCUGUCUCCACCCGAGACUCAGUGAAAUUGAACUCGCUGUGAAGAUGCAGUGUACCCGCGGCAAGACGGAAAGACCCCGUGAACCUUUACUAUAGCUUGACACUGAACACUGGUCCUUGAUGUGUAGGAUAGGUGGGAGGCUUUGAAGCGUGGACGCCAGUCUGCGUGGAGCCGUCCUUGAAAUACCACCCUUUAAUGGCUGGUGUUCUAACGUAGACCCGUGAUCCGGGUUGCGGACAGUGUCUGGUGGGUAGUUUGACUGGGGCGGUCUCCUCCCAAAGAGUAACGGAGGAGCACGAAGGUUGGCUAAUCCUGGUCGGACAUCAGGAGGUUAGUGCAAUGGCAUAAGCCAGCUUGACUGCGAGCGUGACGGCGCGAGCAGGUGCGAAAGCAGGUCAUAGUGAUCCGGUGGUUCUGAAUGGAAGGGCCAUCGCUCAACGGAUAAAAGGUACUCCGGGGAUAACAGGCUGAUACCGCCCAAGAGUUCAUAUCGACGGCGGUGUUUGGCACCUCGAUGUCGGCUCAUCACAUCCUGGGGCUGAAGUAGGUCCCAAGGGUAUGGCUGUUCGCCAUUUAAAGUGGUACGCGAGCUGGGUUUAGAACGUCGUGAGACAGUUCGGUCCCUAUCUGCCGUGGGCGCUGGAGAAUUGAGGGGGGCUGCUCCUAGUACGAGAGGACCGGAGUGGACGCAUCACUGGUGUUCGGGUUGUCAUGCCAAUGGCACUGCCCGGUAGCUAAAUGCGGAAGAGAUAAGUGCUGAAAGCAUCUAAGCACGAAACUUGCCCCGAGAUGAGUUCUCCCUGAGACCUUGAGUCUCCUGAAGGAACGUUGAAGACGACGACGUUGAUAGGUCGGGUGUGUAAGCGCAGCGAUGCGUUGAGCUAACCGAUACUAAUGAACCGUGAGGCUUAACCUU
rnacentral:rRNA from 2 species